UUUGAUCAUAUCGAAAUGGAAUUCGUGACUGGAUUUCCAAAGUCCAAGCGCGGAAAUGAUGCUAUCUUCGUUGUCAUCGACAAGCUUUCUAAAGUGGCUCAUUUCCUUCCAAUCAAAGAAUCCAUCACAGCAGCUCAGUUGGCAGAGCUAUACACCUCCAGGAUUGUCUCCCUGCACGGCAUUCCACAAUUGAUUUCUUCAGAUCGAGGAAGCAUCUUCACCUCUAAGUUCUGGGACUCCUUCCAGAAGGCCAUGGGCACUAACAUUCGCUUCAGCACAGCUUUCCAUCCUCAAACUAGUGGCCAAGUCGAG
rnacentral:rRNA from 1 species